rnacentral:rRNA from 1 species
UUAAGCAUAUAACUAAGCGGAGGAAAAGAAACUAACCAGGAUUCCCCCAGUAACGGCGAGUGAAGCGGGAAGAGCUCAUGUUUGAAAUCCAGCUCCCGUGGGUGCUGGAGUUGUAACCUAGAGGUGCGUGAUCGCCUGCCGGUGGGGCCGCGGCUAAGUCCGAUUUGAAAAGGGCACCAAGGAGGGUGGCAGUCCCGUUCGUGCCGCAGUCCUGCCGGCGAUGUGGCCCGCUUCCAACGAGUCGAGUUGCUUGGGAUUGCAGCUCAAAGUGGGUGGUAAACUCCAUCCAAAGCUAAACACGGGUGGGAGACCGAUAGCGAACAAGUACCGUGAGGGAAAGAUGCAAAGAACUUUGAAAAGAGAGUCAAAGAGUGCCUGAAAUUGCUGAGAGGGAAGCGAAGGAAAGUAGUGUCGAUCGUGGGGAUCUCGCACACGGGGAGCGGCCCGAUGGGCCCUCUCCCGUUAUCCCCCGCACUGUCAGGGGCGGGUGUGGCACGGCAGGACAGCGUCGAAGGUAAAGGUGUUCCGAGGUAACAGCCGGACGAAUGCAGGGUACUUAAGUGUACAUUUUUCGCGUCUGCUCGCACCAUCGACCGACCACGGUACCAAGAGAUCGAGGUUUGAGUGUGAGCGUGCAUGUUGGGACCCGAAAGAUGGUGAACUAUGCCUGAGUAGGGCGAAGCCAGGGGAAACUCUGGUGGAGGCUCGUAGCGAUUCUGACGUGCAAAUCGAUCGUGGGAUUUGGGUAUAGGGGCGAAAGACUAAUCGAACCAUCUAGUAGCUGGUUCCCUCCGAAAUUUCCCUCAGGAUAGCUGCAACCUUUGUAACCAGUUUUAUCAGGUAAAGCGAAUGAUUAGAGGCUGCGGGGGAGUAACUCCCUCGCCCUAUUCUCAAACUUUAAAUGGGUAAGCCACCGGGGUCGCUUAGUUGGACUCGCGGUUUGGGUUGAAUGAUGGUUGUUAGUGGGCC